rnacentral:rRNA from 1 species
CUGCCAGUAGUCAUAUGCUUGUCUCAAAGAUUAAGCCAUGCAUGUCUAAGUACAUGCCGUAUUAAGGCGAAACCGCGAAUGGCUCAUUAAAUCAGUCAUGGUUCCUUGGAUCGUACCUUACUACUUGGAUAACUGUGGCAAUUCUAGAGCUAAUACAUGCAGCAGAGCUCCGACCUUCGGGGACGAGCGCUUUUAUUAGACCAAAACCAAUCGGACCUCGUGUCCGUCCUUUGUGGUGACUCUGUAUAACUUUGGGCUGAUCGCACGGGCCUGUCCCGGCGACGUAUCUUUCAAGUGUCUGCCUUAUCAACUUUCGAUGGUAGGUUACGCGCCUACCAUGGUCGUAACGGGUAACGGGGAAUCAGGGUUCGAUUCCGGAGAGGGAGCCUGAGAAACGGCUACCACAUCCAAGGAAGGCAGCAGGCGCGCAAAUUACCCACUCCCAGAACGGGGAGGUAGUGACGAAAAAUAACAAUACGGGACUCUUUUGAGACCCCGUAAUUGGAAUGAGUACACUCUAAAUCCUUUAACGAGGAUCCAUUGGAGGGUAAGUCUGGUGCCAGCAACCGCGGUAAUUCCAGCUCCAAUAGCGUAUAUUAAAGUUGUUGCGGUUAAAAAGCUCGUAGUUGGAUCUCAGUUCCAGACGGGUGGUCCGCCUACCGGUGGUUACUGCCUGUUCUGAACAGUCAGCCGGUUUCUCUUGAUGAUCUUCACCGGUUGUCUUGGGUGACCGGCAAGUUUACUUUGAAAAAAUUAGAGUGCUCAAAGCAGGCGUGACGCCUGAAUAAUGGUGCAUGGAAUAAUGGAAUAGGACCUCGGUUCUAUUUUGUUGGUUUUCGGAACACGAGGUAAUGAUUAAGAGGGACAGACGGGGGCAUUCGUAUUGCGACGCUAGAGGUGAAAU